CCCUAAUGUUUAUUCACUGCUCCACUUACAACCAAUUAUCCCAUUCAAGGAACAGCUGCUAUAUCGCUGGAGUGAAUGGAUCAUCCACACCUGAGGUCUAUCAUCCUCAAAGUAAGUAUAAAGGGAAGUCAGGGGGGGUUUUCCUGUCAGCAUUCACUUUCCUCCCUUCCCCUGUUGGAGCUGGAGGUUAUUUUGUCUUCUGGUCAAGUUUGGUUUCUUUGACUGGAAUGGUUGUUCACCUUUAUUUGAGCUGAUGCACUGGGAGUGCCAUUACACCUUCUAUUGUUCUAUGACUGCUGACUCCUUUGUGGAGACUCAUGUUACUCCACCCCCCCAUGGUUAUGGAGUCCUCUGGAUUGGGGGAUCGUUAUGGACAUUAAGUACACCAUCUGGUUUGUUUGCCCUGAUUGCGGCUCACACACAAGCUCCAUGGGGAUGAUCUAGGCGCUCUGUGUCUGGAAAGGGGAAAAACUCUUGCUGCUUUCUAUUCCCUGAAGAAAGAUGUA